GUUCUAUACCUACACUUUUUACGUAGCGUUAAUUUACUAACUUAUUAAAUUCUUGGUCUUUGCGUCUAUGGGUGAAACCACAAAGAGAGAGGAUAAAGUGAAAUAAACGAGAAAUUAAAAAUGGAUUUGAGUACUUGACUGGGUUAAGAAUAUGGAUUACACUAAUAGACUUCGUUGAUGAUCAUUCCUCGAACUUGAUUAGCCGGUCCCGAAUGCGGAGGCUAAUGAUGUUAGUAAGGUUUACUAACAUCGGCAUAAUCAUCCCUGAAAACGAGGGAUACUAAACUUGAUUAACUAUUCGGGUGAGAAUAGUUAAUGAUAUUGACCGGUGCUGUCAAUAUCGGCAAUCACACGAAACUUGAUUAGCCGGUCCCGAAUGCGGAGGCUAAUGAUGUUAGUAAGGUUUACUAACAUCGGCAUAAUCAUCCAUCUGCAUAAUCAUCCCUGAAAAUGAGGGAUACUGAAUUUGAUUAACUAUUUGGGUGAGAAUAGUUAAUGAUAUCGACCGGUGUUGUCGAUAUCGGCAAUCACAUGAAACCUGACUAGCUAUUCCUGAAGUGAAAGCUAAUGGUGUCAAGAAUCUUGACAUCAAUAUUUCCGGAAAUAUUCCUAGAUAUUAUGGAAAGAAAAAUCUGAUUGGCUAUUUCAUGUUAGAAAUAGUCGACAACAUCAAUCAGUGGUAUUAAUUUUGAUGUUUACAAUGAACUUGAUUAGCCGAUCCUGAUAUGGGAGACGAAUAACACUAAUGAAAAUUUAUUAGUGUUAGCAUUCCCUUCCAAGUUUUAGGGGAGAGGUAUUAUAAUGAUAUUUCCGAUAGGGAAUAAUUAAAAAUAUUAAUGAAAUGGGGAUUGACAUCUUGAUAGGAUUAUUCAUUCGGCCUUGAAGAGGCGGAUAUUGAUUGGAAAUUAUGGAAUAAGAUGGGCGGAGGAACUAGUUACCCGGUGAUGGGCUAGUGGCAUUAGUUUUGUUUUCUAAUGAUCGGAAUAUACAACUUGAGUUAAACUUACUUGUGUGGUGUUAAUAUUGUCAGGAUGACUGACUUGUUAGAUUAUAAAUGGAAUGUUGGACGAUACCUAAUUGUUAAACAAAAAUGGUAAUUUAUGUUUAUGUUAUGGAUUAUUGAAGAAAAAAAAAAAGAGAGAAA